rnacentral:rRNA from 1 species
UACGGAGGGUGCAAACGUUGCUCGGAAUUAUUGGGCGUAAAGCGUGCGCAGGCGGUGAGCUGUGUCCGAUGUGAAAGCCCCGGGCUUAACCUGGGAAUGGCAUUGGAAACUGGCUUGCUGGAGUGCGGCAGAGGGGGGUGGAAUUCCGCGUGUAGCAGUGAAAUGCGUAGAGAUGCGGAGGAACACCGAUGGCGAAGGCAGCCCCCUGGGUCGACACUGACGCUCAGGCACGAAAGCGUGGGGAGCAAACAGG